rnacentral:rRNA from 1 species
GAUUAGCUUGUUGGUGAGGUAACGGCUCACCAAGGCGACGAUCCCUAGCUGGUCUGAGAGGAUGACCAGCCACACUGGAACUGAGACACGGUCCAGACUCCUACGGGAGGCAGCAGUGGGGAAUAUUGCACAAUGGGCGCAAGCCUGAUGCAGCCAUGCCGCGUGUAUGAAGAAGGCCUUCGGGUUGUAAAGUACUUUCAGCGGGGAGGAAGGUGUUGUGGUUAAUAACCGCAGCAAUUGACGUUACCCGCAGAAGAAGCACCGGCUAACUCCGUGCCAGCAGCCGCGGUAAUACGGAGGGUGCAAGCGUUAAUCGGAAUUACUGGGCGUAAAGCGCACGCAGGCGGUCUGUCAAGUCGGAUGUGAAAUCCCCGGGCUCAACCUGGGAACUGCAUUCGAAACUGGCAGGCUUGAGUCUUGUAGAGGGGGGUAGAAUUCCAGGUGUAGCGGUGAAAUG